rnacentral:rRNA from 1 species
AGCCUUAUGAUUUUAUAUUAGGUGAUUUCUGCUCAAUGGGUAGUAAUCUUUAAUAGCCGCAGUACUUUGACUGUGCUAAGGUAGCAUAAUAAGUUGUCUUUUAAUUGAAGACUAGAAUGAAUGAAAGUUUGGCAGGUAACUUUUUUUUUGGUUUUAAUUUUAACUUUUUUUUAAGGUGAAAAUACCUUUUUCAUGAAGAAAGACGAGAAGACCCUUAGAGUUUUAAUAAAAAGUAUUACUCUUACUUUUUUUUUGUUGGGGUGACAGACUUUUAUAUAAUAAUAAAGUUAUAAAUUAUAGGACUAUUUUGUGAAUAAUAAAACUACCUUAGGGAUAACAGCAUUAUUUUUAAAAAAGAUUGUGACCUCGAUGUUGGACUAGGGACCAUAUUAAUUAACAAUUAUAAGGAUAUGUUCUGUUCGAACACAAGACCCU